rnacentral:rRNA from 1 species
UACGUAGGGUGCGAGCGUUGUCCGGAAUUAUUGGGCGUAAAGAGCUCGUAGGCGGUUUGUUGCGUCGGCUGUGAAAUUCCCGAGGCUCAACCUCGGGUCUGCAGUCGAUACGAGCAAACUAGAGUGUUGCAGGGGAGAACGGAAUUCCUGGUGUAGCGGUGAAAUGCGCAGAUAUCAGGAGGAACACCGAUGGCGAAGGCAGAUCUCUGGGCCGUAACUGACGCUAAGACGCGAAAGCAUGGGUAGCGAACGGG